UACGUAGGGUGCGAGCGUUGUCCGGAAUUAUUGGGCGUAAAGAGCUCGUAGGCGGUGCGUCACGUCGGCCGUGAAAACCUGCAGCUUAACUGUGGGCGUGCGGUCGAUACGGGCAUCACUGGAGUUCGGCAGGGGAGACUGGAAUUCCUGGUGUAGCGGUGAAAUGCGCAGAUAUCAGGAGGAACACCGGUGGCGAAGGCGGGUCUCUGGGCCGAUACUGACGCUGAGGAGCGAAAGCGUGGGGAGCAAACAGG
rnacentral:rRNA from 1 species